UAUGAGACAGGAACAGUGACACCACAUGGAGAGAACUGAAAGGAAGUGGUUGGUCCCUUGACUGAAGAGAAGCCAUAAAGACUGCAAAGAUCAGCACAGAUUUUCCUCCCAUGUGGACAGCUGCCGGAGUGCCUUGGAACACAUCGCGUUUGUCGUCUGCUGCCUUGGAAAGCGACACCCAUUUUGGCGCAAGGGACAUUUAGAAUUUUCUAAACCAAGGACGACAAGAAGUGAGAGUGCCGAAGAAUGAUUUUCACAAACCAGCCCACCUUAUGGGGCCCUGACACCAGAUGGAGAGAUGAGAGAAAUCAAGGUUCCAGUUCUUGCUGUUCAAUACAAAUGUAAAAAUUCACAACACAGUUUUACCCUCGUAAAAGAGCAGACUCACAAUCUAGUUUGCAAUGCCAUGUUUCUGACUUUGGUUAAUAGGUUUCAGAGUGAAUCAGCACUUGGUACCUGAAAGUGUACAAUCAUUCCUCCAGGUGGCAGGCUUAGUAUUCUCAUUAAACAGAUAAAAGUU